rnacentral:rRNA from 1 species
CGGGAAUCUUCCGCAAUGGACGAAAGUCUGACGGAGCAACGCCGCGUGAGCGAAGAAGGCCUUCGGGUCGUAAAGCUCUGUUGUCAGGGAAGAACAAGUAUCGGAGUAACUGCCGGUACCUUGACGGUACCUGACGAGAAAGCCACGGCUAACUACGUGCCAGCAGCCGCGGUAAUACGUAGGUGGCAAGCGUUGUCCGGAAUUAUUGGGCGUAAAGCGCGCGCAGGCGGUCCUUUAAGUCUGAUGUGAAAGCCCCCGGCUCAACCGUGGAGGGCCAUUGGAAACUGGGGGACUUGAGUGCAGGAGAGGGAAGUGGAAUUCCACGUGUAGCGGUGAAAUGCGUAGAGAUGUGGAGGAACACCAGUGGCGAAGGCGGCUUCCUGGCCUGUAACUGACGCUGAGGCGCGAAAGCGUGGGGAGCAAAC